rnacentral:rRNA from 1 species
CCUACGGGGGGCAGCAGUGGGGAAUAUUGGACAAUGGGGGCAACCCUGAUCCAGCCAUGCCGCGUGUGUGAAGAAGGCCCUCGGGUUGUAAAGCACUUUCAGUGAUGAAGAACGCCUGGUGGUUAAUACCCAUCAGGAAAGACAUCACUCACAGAAGAAGCACCGGCUAACUCCGUGCCAGCAGCCGCGGUAAUACGGAGGGUGCGAGCGUUAAUCGGAAUUACUGGGCGUAAAGCGCGCGUAGGUGGCUUGAUAAGCCGGUUGUGAAAGCCCCGGGCUCAACCUGGGAACGGCAUCCGGAACUGUCAAGCUAGAGUGCAGGAGAGGAAGGUAGAAUUCCCGGUGUAGCGGUGAAAUGCGUAGAGAUCGGGAGGAAUACCAGUGGCGAAGGCGGCCUUCUGGACUGACACUGACACUGAGGUGCGAAAGCGUGGGUAGCAAACAGGAUUAGAUACCCCGGUAGUC